CCUGCCCCUCCUGCCCUGCCACCCUCAGUCCCCCUGUGCUUUCUUCCCGGCAGCCUCCACCCCCAAAGAGACAACGGUGCCUCACAUCGUGCCACCCGUGAGCACGGAGAAGACCACCCCGGCCACGUCUGCCAGCAGCACCUCCAGGACGUCCGUGCCCAGCGAGGCCAGCCCCGCCAGCAGCCCAGCAGUGCCAGUGGCCAGGACGUCGCCUGCCCCCAGCAGCCCUCUCAGCACCAGGCUGCCAUCUGCUGCCCCUUCCACAGCCUCCUCCCCGUUGCCCCCAACAAAGUCCAUGCCUACAGCCUUCAUUCCCACUUUGACCUCCUCUGAGAGUACCACUUAUUCUUCCCCCUCACCAAACACCACAGUUUCUUUUACUCCACGUGGUGAAACAUUUUCAGUAGCACUUCCAACUGCUGUCUCUUCCAAAUCCACCCCAGUUGUGAUCCCAAGAGUGUUACCUACAACAACUGUGUUUCCUCCCAGUUUUGUUACCACUGCUUCUACAGAGACCCCUUCUGUUGAACAGACUUCUAUCCGAACAACUACACUAACUACCAGGCGUACUACAUCAUCUCUUUCUGUUACAUCUGAACUUUCAACAUCCCUGUCUUCUGUUAGACCAGCUACAGUACCACAAGAGAAUUGCCUAAAAGUCGAAUAUGAAGAAAAAAUAACUUACAAAGGCUGUUCUGCUAACAUCACUUUGAGCCGAUGUGAAGGAUCAUGUCCAUCUUCAACAACGUAAGGAUACUUGAGAGCUUCUGUAUCAUAAAUACAGUGAAGUUCUUUCUUAUCUAUGAAUACUGAUCUUUGUCAACUGCCUCUCCUUUAUAAUUCAGUGAGAAAAAGCUUUGUGGUAUUUAUCUAGCAACAGUGUGGCACUAUAGGCCAGGUAGCUAGAGCUAGCACUAAUACAGGUCAAAUAGUCUGUAGAGAUCUACAGUUUAAACAGGGAAUGUCUCCUCACUUAAGUUUUG
rnacentral:lncRNA from 1 species